rnacentral:rRNA from 1 species
CAUGCAAGUCGAACGGUAGCACAGAGAGCUUGCUCUCGGGUGACGAGUGGCGGACGGGUGAGUAAUGUCUGGGAAACUGCCUGAUGGAGGGGGAUAACUACUGGAAACGGUAGCUAAUACCGCAUAACGUCGCAAGACCAAAGAGGGGGACCUUCGGGCCUCUUGCCAUCAGAUGUGCCCAGAUGGGAUUAGCUAGUAGGUGGGGUAACGGCUCACCUAGGCGACGAUCCCUAGCUGGUCUGAGAGGAUGACCAGCCACACUGGAACUGAGACACGGUCCAGACUCCUACGGGAGGCAGCAGUGGGGAAUAUUGCACAAUGGGCGCAAGCCUGAUGCAGCCAUGCCGCGUGUAUGAAGAAGGCCUUCGGGUUGUAAAGUACUUUCAGCGGGGAGGAAGGUGUUGAGGUUAAUAACCUCAGCAAUUGACGUUACCCGCAGAAGAAGCACCGGCUAACUCCGUGCCAGCAGCCGCGGUAAUACGGAAGGGUGCAAGCGUUAAUCGGAAUUACUGGGGCGUAAAGCGCACGCAGGCGGUCUGUCAAGUCGGAUGUGAAAUCCCCGGGCUCAACCUGGGAACUGCAUUCGAAACUGGCAGGCUAGAGUCUUGUAGAGGGGGGUAGAAUUCCAGGUGUAGCGGUGAAAUGCGUAGAGAUCUGGAGGAAUACCGGUGGCGAAGGCGGCCCCCUGGACAAAGACUGACGCUCAGGUGCGAAAGCGUGGGGAGCAAACAGGAUUAGAUACCCUGGUAGUCCACGCCGUAAACGAUGUCGACUUGGAGGUUGUGCCCUUGAGGCGUGGCUUCCGGAGCUAACGCGUUAAGUCGACCGCCUGGGGAGUACGGCCGCAAGGUUAAAACUCAAAUGAAUUGACGGGGGCCCGCACAAGCGGUGGAGCAUGUGGUUUAAUUCGAUGCAACGCGAAGAACCUUACCUACUCUUGACAUCCAGAGAACUUAGCAGAGAUGCUUUGGUGCCUUCGGGAACUCUGAGACAGGUGCUGCAUGGCUGUCGUCAGCUCGUGUUGUGAAAUGUUGGGUUAAGUCCCGCAACGAGCGCAACCCUUAUC